rnacentral:rRNA from 1 species
AUUGAACGCUGGCGGCAGGCCUAAUACAUGCAAGUCGAGCGGAGCGGCGGACGGGCGAGUAAUGACUAGGAAUCUGCCUGGCAGUGGGGGAUAACGCACGGAAACGGGCGCUAAUACAGCAUACUAUCAGAUGAGCCUAGGUCGGAUUAGCUAGUUGGUGGGGUAAAGGCCUACCAAGGCGACGAUCCGUAGCUGGUCUGAGUGGAUGAUCAGUCACACUGGAACUGAGACACGGUCCAGACUCCUACGGGAGGCAGCAGUGGGGAAUAUUGGACAAUGGGCGAAAGCCUGAUCCAGCCAUGCCGCGUGUGUGAAGAAGGUUUUCGGAUUGUAAAGCACUUUUAGUUGGGAGGCGUUACCAACAGAAUAAGCACCGGCUAACUUCGUGCCAGCAGCCGCGGUAAUAC